GUCCCCGUAGCUCAGUGGAUAGAGCAACCGCCUCCUAAGCGGUAGGUCGCAGGUUCAACUCCCGCCGGGGACAC
rnacentral:tRNA from 4 species